CAUCCUACAUCUUUCUCCCAUGCUGGAUGCUUCCUGCCCUCAAACAUUGGAAUCCAAGUUCUUCAAUUUUGGGACUCUUGGACUUUUGACCACAGACUGAAGGCUGCACUGUUGGCUUCCCUACUUUUGAGGUUUUGGGACUCGGACAGGCUUCCUUGCUCCUCAGCUUGCAGAUGGCCUACUGUGGGGCCAUACCUUGUGAUCAUGACACAAGAUAUGGAUGUGACAGUUGGCACUACAGGUCUCUCCAAAAGUAGGAAGUGCAAGGGCACAUGUGGAGCUGCCUAAAGUUUGCACAGAGAUAUUGCUCCAGAAACAGAAACCACACAGAAUUCCGCAGGCAUCUGAGCCUGGAGCAGCCUCAGCUGGGUGCCAUUUUGACCCCAGAUACUGGAGAUUUACAGACAUGGUUGCAGCCAUUGCACUGCUCCAAGGAGAGAGAAAGGAAAAUGGGUGCACUCAUGCACACUCAGGCAGGGACUUGCUCCCCUGCUACAAUCAUCUGUUGAGACUGAGACUCAAGUGGACCACACUUCCCACAGCUUCUUGCUCAUGCUGCCAGCCUGGGUGGUCCCUGGCUCUCUCUGGUCCCAAGCCCAAGGCUCUAUUUUGAGAGUUUAACUCUGGACUGUCCCCUAUCUUCAGCCUGAGCUCAGGCUGAUGCAGCUGCAACCACUGCCUGGCUAAGGAGGGACAGGGAGACCAGGUCAUCCUACUCAUAUCUAGGACGAUACUCACUGCUCUGCAACAGGCUGCUGUGAAACUGGCUGACAUGUGAGUGAACCACACUCCCCACAGCUUCUUGCCCAUACUGCUUGCCGGAGCAUUGCCCCAUUCUCCCUGGAUGUAAGCCCAAGGCAUCCUUUUGAGAGUUUAAUUCUAAGCUGCAUCUCACCAUCGCCAUGAGUAAACUAUGCAUUGGACCAAG
rnacentral:lncRNA from 1 species